rnacentral:rRNA from 1 species
GUAAGGAAUAUUGGACAAUGGACGCAAGUCUGAUCCAGCCAUGCCGCGUGAAGGAUUAAGGUCCUCUGGAUUGUAAACUUCUUUUAUAAGGGACGAAAAAAGGCUUUUCUAAGUCGUCUGACGGUACCUUAUGAAUAAGCACCGGCUAACUCCGUGCCAGCAGCCGUGGUAAUACGGAGGGUGCAAGCGUUAUCCGGAUUCACUGGGUUUAAAGGGUGCGUAGGCGGGCAGGUAAGUCAGUGGUGAAAUCCUAGAGCUUAACUCUAGAACUGCCAUUGAUACUAUCUGUCUUGAAUAUUGUGGAGGUAAGCGGAAUAUGUCAUGUAGCGGUGAAAUGCUUAGAUAUGACAUAGAACACCUAUUGCGAAGGCAGCUUACUACGCAUAUAUUGACGCUGAGGCACGAAAGCGUGGGGAUCAAACAGGAUUAGAAACCCGUGUAGUCC